ACUGCACGAAACUAACUCGAUAGUUUUUAUUUUGCUUCUUGAUACACACACUUUCUGCCAACACCCUACGGAGCCGGCAAGUCCUGUGACAGGCUUUCCUUGUACUUGCCUUGAUUCUCACUGUGCUCUCAUCACGUCGUGGAUCUGAAGUUCUGUGCUCAUGAGUCAUCGUGAGCAUUCUACAUGGCUGCGGCAGCAAGGGCCGGUGUGGGGUAAGAAUAUUGUAUGCAUCCUCUCUGCACAGGGGCAUACUCCAUUGAUCCACCAGUUCAGAGAUAAAAUGUUUAAAAGUUUCAAACAGCAACAACACAGGGUGAACCCGAGCUCAGGGAUUCUCUGGGCAUACAGCCCUCAGGCUCCUCGAUCCUGAAGCUGGCCCUGUUUGCAGUCAGACCUCCCUCUGCCUCUAGCCUCUGGCCAUCACUGAUCUGUUUUCUGUCCCUACAGUUUUGCCAUUUCAAGAAUGCAACGUAAAUGAAUCACACAGUAUAUAACUUUCUAACUUUCGAGUCUGGCUCCUUUCAUGUAGCAUUUGCCUCUGAGGUUCAUCUUUGUUGCAGCAUAUCAGCACUCCAUUGUGUGGGUGUACACAGUUUAUUUCUCCUCCCCGGUGGACGGACAGCCUUAAUCUUAGCACUGAGGGGUGUGCCUGUUCUUUGAAUUUUCAGGUUAAUCAGAAUUUUUUUUUUUUGAGGCAGAUCUUGGUUGCAGCAGCCCGAUCCAGUUCCUUUGACCAUAAGCCCUCUCUCCUUUAUGGCAAUGGUAGGUGAGGAGGAAAAUAACAUGCAAGUGAAGCAAACAGUGAACUCCCAGCCCAGGAAGGUCUGGGAAGGAGUGGGGAAGGGUAUACUACAGGAAAGAUCAUAAAACAAACAGGAAGAAUGCGCGUUAUGUAUGAAAGGGUUACCUUGCUCAUCAUGCUCGAAGGAAUGCCGACUUCUUACUUUUCCAGUUGAAUUUGUUCUUAGAAUAAAUCCAUAGAUCUGAAUCUACAUUGGAGAGAUUGGUCUACUCUAGCCCUAUGCUUUAAAGAAAAUUCUGGAAAUCAGGAAUGCAGACCCAUCACUGCCCUGGCACCCUGAGCAGGCAGCGUUCAGAGCACUCCAGUUAGUUCUUGCUGGGCUGGCUCUCUGGGUCGUGUCUUACCUGGAGGGUUGGACCCACCCAGAACAGGAAGUAGCACAGAGAGUCAUGCACCACGUCUAGAGCAUUAAACAGGACUCAGUUGGCUGAUGCAUUAAGCUAAACCUGUUUAGGUGGCCUCGAGGGUUUAAAGAUGUUGCUGAGGCUGUCAGCGGCUGUCGGCAGCCCCUCAGCUCUCGCGUUACUUUGCUCCACGGGCUUCCUCUUGCAAACCCCGUGGCUCUGCCUACUAGAGCAUGCUUGGCAUGUGUGCAGGGCUGGUCACACGUGGUGGCGGUUAGUCCUCAGUGAAAUGAUGGACAACUGUGGUGUGGUUUGUGCAGUCUCUCGGAGGCCCCCAGCGGGGCUGAGCUCCAGUUGCCCACAGCGGACAUCUUCACACUCCCUGUGCUGCCUCUUUUCCCUGCUUUGUCUCACUUCCCCACUCCCUGGGAUGACCUCCUAAAAGAACUAUUUGCACUGGAAUCUUUGUCUCCCGGACAGCUGAAGAGGUUAAGCUCCUACAUAGGAGGCCAGUGUAUUGUGACAUCAGAGCCUUCUUUGUCUACCAGCCAGGUCUCUGCUCAGAUGGCAUCGUGGACACUCUUUAUGAGAACCUACCUUGCAGUGCUGUAGCUGCCGUCUGCUUGUGCUUUGGCUCCUAAGCGCAUGGUUAAGGAAAUACUCAGCUUUCAGGGUUUUUGUUUGUUUUAUCACGAGUGAAAUUCCUGGCACAGAGCAGGGAUCCAAUGUCAUUGCUGUUACUGUUGAUGAAGAUGAAAUGGUGAUCAAGACUAAAGAAGGUGAAGAAGACUAACGGUGAUGAAGAUAAAGAUGACACUGGGAAUGUAUGAUCCUAACCAGAGCUGGCGGAAGAAGCCACACUGAGCUCUUAGUCAUCUCAGCAUGUGCCUUGGAAGUUUUGUUUAUUGUUUACCAAAAGUCAUCUCGCGGAAAGGAGGGGCUAGGGUCUGGUAAGUCGAAGGCUCCAGUGUGGGGGUUCCAGUCACGUGACAUCUCCUGCUGCCCUCCCUGGGGGCCACUCCUGGCUAAUGUAUUACCCGCUUCGCGGCACACUUCACUUGGUGGCAGCUUCACUUGGGCCAAGUCAGUGCUGUUUCCUGGGUUCGUGGAUUGAAACUUAUUUCUUCAGAGAGCAAGCCAUCAACAAUGAGCAGGCUGGUGACCAAAGGAGGCCUUCUUUACUGUGGGGUGUCUUCUGAUGCAGCAGUGAGGGAGGGCAGGUCGGUUGAGAUCACCAACCCAUCAACCGGCCCUGUGCAAAUGCCCAAUAAGUGACCCUUUUGAUGUCAAGGGGCUGAAACUUCCACCCUCAGAUCGUACCAACACCACCAUUUGUGAACAUGCGUCCUAUGAGGAGCCAUGAAGCUUGACGAUGCUUGUGCAGAUCAUUGAUUACCUCACUUCUCCUCUCCAGUCAUCUGUCUCCACACUUCAGACCGCCCUGCCCUUCAUCCUAUACAUUUUACCCCAAGCCCUGGAUCGGGGAGACAGAUCCGAGAGCUUAUACCUCCUGUCUCCUUGCAGAUCGAUCUCGCAAUAAAUCUGUAUUCUUU
rnacentral:lncRNA from 1 species